AGUAAUGGCAGGUCAGCAUACUGCCGUGAAUACGUUCCCGGGCCUUGUACACACCGCCCGUCACACCAUGAGAGUUGGGAAUACCCGAAGCCUGUGAGCUAACUUUUAGAGGCAGCAGUCGAAGGUAGAAUCAAUGAUUGGGGUGAAGUCGUAACAAGGUACC
rnacentral:rRNA from 1 species